rnacentral:rRNA from 1 species
GACGAACGCUGGCGGCGUGCUUAACACAUGCAAGUCGAACGGAAAGGCCCUGCUUUUGUGGGGUGCUCGAGUGGCGAACGGGUGAGUAACACGUGAGUAACCUGCCCUUGACUUUGGGAUAACUUCAGGAAACUGGGGCUAAUACCGGAUAGGAGCUCCUGCUGCAUGGUGGGGGUUGGAAAGUUUCGGCGGUUGGGGAUGGACUCGCGGCUUAUCAGCUUGUUUGGGAGGUAGUGGCUUACCAAGGCUUUGACGGGUAGCCGGCCUGAGAGGGUGACCGGCCACAUUGGGACUGAGAUACGGACCAGACUCCUACGGGAGGCAGCAGUGGGGAAUAUUGCACAAUGGGCGGAAGCCUGAUGCAGCAACGCCGCGUGCGGGAUGACGGCCUUCGGGUUGUAAACCGCUUUCGCCUGUGACGAAGCGUGAGUGACGGUAAUGGGUAAAGAAGCACCGGCUAACUACGUG